rnacentral:misc_RNA from 1 species
GUGAAUCAUCAAAUUUUUGAACGCAAAUUGCACUCUCCUCGGAGAGUAUGCCUGUUUGAGGGUCAGCCUAAAAAAAAUCGACAGCGUUGCUGUUCCGCGGUUACUUUCGUCGGAAAUUGGGUUAUCUUAAACCUUUUGUUUUAAGCGACUUAAAAUUUUCCUUUUGAUUCAUUGAACGUUUCGAUGCUUUAUUUCUUUACACGUUUAAGGUUU